CAAAAACAUGUCCUUUUGUUUAUUUAUUUAAGGUUUGACCUGCCCAAUGAGGAAUUGAAUGGCCGCAGUAUUCUAACUGUGCUAAGGUAGCAUAAUCAUUUGUCUUUUAAUUGAGGGCUGGAAUGAAGGGUUGGACGAGGUAUUGACUUUCUUUAAUUUAAUUUGAGGAAUUUAAUUUUUGAGUUAAAAAGCUUAAAUUUAUUUAUGGGACGAGAAGACCCUAUAGAUCUUUAUAGUUUUAUAUUUUGGUAAUUUAGGGAUUUAUAUACUUUAAGUAGAUUAACUAUUUUGUUGGGGUGACUGUAGAAUUUAAAUAACUUCUAUUUUUUAUUUUCAUUAAUUAGUGUUUUUAUGAUCCAUAGUUUAUGAUUAGAAGAUUAAGUUACCUUAGGGAUAACAGCGUAAUUUCCUCGGAGAGUUCAUAUUGAUGAGGGAGUUUGCGACCUCGAUGUUGGAUUAAAAUAAGUUAUGGAUGCAGGAGUCUAUUUACUAGGUCUGUUCGACCUUUAAAUUUUUACAUGAUCUGAGUUCAAAACCGGAGA
rnacentral:rRNA from 1 species